UACGGAGGAUGCGAGCGUUAUCCGGAUUUAUUGGGUUUAAAGGGUGCGUAGGCGGACUGUCAAGUCAGCGGUAAAAUUGAGAGGCUCAACCUCUUCCCGCCGUUGAAACUGGUGGUCUUGAGUGGAUGAGAAGUACGCGGAAUGCGUGGUGUAGCGGUGAAAUGCAUAGAUAUCACGCUGAACUCCGACUGCGAUGGCAGCGUACCGGCAUCCAACUGACGCUGAGGCACGAAAGCGUGGGGAUCAAACAGG
rnacentral:rRNA from 1 species